GCCAUUGUUUCCUAAAACCCGUACCUUCUUAGAUACCAUCCCUUAUUACUUCUGAGUUUAUCUUUUGAAUUUGCUAGAGCACAACUUCAAGCAACAUCCUAAGAAAAGGGUAUGAAAGAGAGAAAGAAAGUUGGGCACAGAGAAGUUAAAUAACUUGUUGAAUGGGAAACAACCAACAAGGAUGGAGCCAGUAUUCAGCCAAGGUCCAUGCGGUUCAAUGACAGUUUCAAAGGGAUGUGCUGAUAAACGAUUUGCCUAUAGCUUGGCACAGUGUGCUCUGAUGCCAGUAAGCCUCUUGCGGAACAAAGAAAGCUAAGACACUUCUGAAGCUUGAACAGCUGAAGGACAGCUCUGAACCCAAGUGGCAGGUAGUGUUUCCCUCGGGCUUUUGUUACAUAUAUAUGUAUGAUACAUAACAAAUUCAUAUAUAUAUAAAUAUCUCUACGAGACUAUAUCAACGUGCUGUGUUAAUAACAAAGUAGUAACCGCAAUCGCUGCCGUAGUCUCAGAAGGUUUUAUGAGAGCGUCUAACAAAACCCUAAGUGUUCAAGAAAAUAGCACUGUUUUCACUUUACUGCAGAUCUUAAAUUUGCCGGAUCUUUCUAAACCGGUACCACUGAAAAUGCCACUGUGUUAUCAGCAAUGAGAAAAAUAUGCCAGGAACUACAGAAUAUAAGCAUUUAUUUAUUCUCCCAAAUAACAUUCAGAGACAGUGAACUCCAGCUAAAUGUUAGCUCGUCAUCUUGAAUAUGUAUUAUCGAGUAGGCAAAAUAUGCAAACGGUAGUUUAAAACUCAUCGAUAUUUUACUCAUUUUCUUUACCUGAUGAUCAACUGCUUUAAAUUCAGAAUACUAACUGUCCUGUACACAGGCCUGAACCUGCAUAUGACAGAAUAAAAGUAAGUCAAAGGGAAAGUUCUAUUCCCUUUAUCUUCGUAGAAAUUGAGUACUUCGUUUUAUAAUCCCUAUGUUCAAAUAUGGAAAUGUUAGUGGUUUAAAAGGGUUGUAGGGUAUUUAACCAAAAUGUAUUUAACUUGUUACCUCUGAAGAUUUAAGUUGAUUUCGUUUAUUUUCUUAAAACAAUGGUGUAAUGUGCAUAGGACUCUAUAGAAGUGUGUGAGUAUAUCCAUAGAAAAGAUUCCUAGAAGUGGAGAUUCUAACCAAACAUAUAUAUAUAUGCAUUUUUAAUUUUGUAGCUGUUGCUAAAUGGCUUUCCAAACCAGUGGCACAAAUGCAUAGUCUUAGCACUAAAGCCUUAAUGCCCUGUUAACCCAUGUUCUGGGCCAUAUUGGGCAUUACCAAAAUGUUUCUUUUCAAAAUAAUAGGUGAAAAAAGUGACCCCCUCAGUGUUGUUUUGUCUGUAUUACCUCACCUAUGAAUGACUUUUAUCUAGAGGAUUAUUACUUACUUAUUACAUUUCAGUAUUUGUAUUUCUUGUAGGGAGUAAAUUUUAUUUUUUCAUACUGAUAUAUAA